GCACUGCUGAGGAGUUCCAGUAUAGGACGAAACAGCCGUCCAAUGC
rnacentral:hammerhead_ribozyme from 1 species